rnacentral:lncRNA from 1 species
UAGGUCCCUUAAACAUCUUCUGAAGUAUAUUCUACACUAAGAGGAAUGACUGCACCAUUUUUCUGAGCUAUGGCAGUCAGACCUGGUACCAGUAACUUCUCUACAGAACCCCCAAACCUGGCAAGAAUGGAUCAGAUUUUGACAGAUUAUGGCUUCAUCCACACCCAGAACUGAUGAUAUCAGCAGAGCAACUUUCAUUGUUAGAGAGAGGAGAGAGAGAGAAGCCUUGUUGGUUGACGUCACUUGGUUCAUGAAGCCUUCGCCUAGAAGUGAAGCUGCUGAACAAACCUUGAGAAGAAUCAUCUCCUGCUUCAAUCUGCUGCUGGAUAGGAACUAA